AAUGGUAAGUACUUGUAUUUAUUUAUUUUUAAAUAGCACUUUACAAUUAUCUGAGAAAAAAACAUUAUUCAUUUUAAAAUUACCUAAUUGAUUUCUAAAUGAAAUUGUUUCUUUUUCUUCAGUAGUGCAAUCUCAGUCAAAUCUUGAAGACUCUUUGGAUGUCAGUCCCAUAUGCUCAAAUUCAAAGGCCCAAACAAUUUCCUUCACUCAUCAAAAGUACAUUGUAAAUAGCUGUUUGAUUGUCAAGUAUGGGGAAAUAUUCUAUCCAGGAGUUGUGAUAGAAGUCCUGGAUGAUCAGCGCAGAAAUAAUUUUUUAAAAAGGCACAGAAAUAAAAGAAAUAUAUUUGUAUAUCCAGAAGUGCAGGACAUACAGUUAGUGUAUGCAGACAUGAUUGUUACUGAAGUGAUGUUGAUACCAAUGGCAAUAGUUUGAGAGUGGAAUGUUUUGAUUUCUGAAUUUGUCAAAUAAAAUUUGUGUACAGUU